CGCUCCCCGAAAUAUCCAAACAUGGGGGGUCCUGCCUGCCCAGUGACUCGAGGUUAAACGGCCGCGGUAUCUUGACCGUGCAAAGGUAGCAUAAUCAUUUGUCUCCUAAAUAGAGACUAGUAUGAAUGGCAAGACGGAACUAAGCUGUCUCUUUUUCACAACUCUGAAUUUCACCUCCCCGUGAAGAGGCGAGGAUUUAAUCGUUAGACGAGAAGACCCUGUCGAGCUUACAGCGAAAAUCUAGCUUUUAAUUUUCUUACCCUAUACUAACCAACAAAUUUAUACAAGGGCAAGCUUUUAAGAGACUCGAAUAAGCUUUGGUUGGGGCAACCGCGGAGUAAGAGAAUCCUCCGCUAAUAACACAAUUUUACAAAGAACUACAAUUCUACAAUCAUAAAUGAAAGCAUGAUCCACUAAGGUGAUCAAAGGAACAAGUUACCGCAGGGAUAACAGCGUUAUCUUUUCUGAGAGUUCACAUUGACGAAAAGGUUUGCGACCUCGAUGUUGGAUCGGGACAUCCUAAGGGUGCAGAAGCUUUUAAGGGUUGGUCUGUUCGACCAUUAAAGUCCUACGUGAUCUGAGUUCAGACCGGCGAGAGC
rnacentral:rRNA from 1 species